CUCUACAGUUCUGAUGAGUGCAUUGUAUCCACAACGUUGUUGAGGAACCUGCAAGCUGUUGGUUUAUAAGAGAAGAGAAUACAGAAGUCACUAAAAGAAGCAGCUCCUUUGCCGACAGGGGAGAUGGCAGCAACCAAGGGAAAUGAAAGAGGAGGACUGAACAUACUGCAAAGGGAGGAAAAAAGGGAAUGGCCAAACAAAAACGGAGCCAGCUCUGCCUCCAGCCCUCCUCACCACCUUGCAGCUAGAGCCGCCCAGGAAACACUGAGAUGCUGCAGUGCUAACCAUCUUCAUACAGUCUGUCCUUGUGCUUCAAGGCACCGUUGGGAGCCCAAGAGCGGGCCUUACCUUGGAAAAACAAUUCCCUUCAUCUUUGCAGUGGGGGAGUUUCGUUUCCACGUGUUGGCAGUGGCAAUGGGUCUGAGUGUAGAGGGAAAUGAGUUGGGAAGAUGAGAGAUGCUUCAUACACUGCACGUGCAGCUGAACCCCUGAGACUGUCUGUAACAAGAAUACAGUGCUCAAGUACUGACAGCACUUGGCGCGGCUCCUUAUAUAAGAGACGAACCCUGACAAAACUGAUGUAUUCUUGAAAAUGGAAGUUAACCUCUGCAUUAUUAAACAUAUCCUAGAAGUCUUCAUCAGCUUGCCAUUAUUCAACUUUUAAAAAAAUCUGGUAGUAUAUUUUAUUCUUUUAAAUUAUUAUUAAAAGGUAGAAGAAUUAAAGCCUAGGACUAAAAGUAUUACUUAUCGCAGUAUUUCCACAGCUUCCCAAGAGGCUCUGGUUUCACAUGUGCUCCAAGCAAUGAGCAUUGCUUCAGAAGUCGGUGAGGUGCUGAAAAAGAGCAUACCAAUUUCACUUACAAUACUAGUUGCUGGUUUAUUGUAGGUGAUAAUAUUUACUUGCUACCCUGUCCUUCCAGGCACUACUCUGGACCCUGCUGCCAUAGGUUUCGGCAGAAACAUGGGGGUGUUCUUGAAAAGUCUUCCAUGAUUCAUACCAGGAGCUAAUGACAAAUACAGUCUCAAUAUUUAUUUUUAUUUUUUUUCCCUUUCAGAAGGACACUAAUUUUUGGAAAAGUACUUUUCUUGUUGGCAGCUAGGCAGAACUGCUUCUCCUUCCACAGGUCUUUUGACAUGUGUAGGACAACAAAAGGACAUAAAAUAGGCUAGUAAGCACAUGUGAAAGAUUGCUUGUAGUUCCUAUAACCGCAAAAAGGUGAUCACCUUUGUUUGAUUGCAUAAAAGAUGUGCUUUAAAGUCAACAGUUUGCGAGUCUUUUGAUAGCCAGACAGAAAACUAAAAUGUCUCUUUUGGGGAAAAAAAAUCGUGUGUGAAACAAUG
rnacentral:lncRNA from 1 species